UGUGUACUCUCUUCGUUCCAAAAUACUUGACUUCCAUUUGUCCAAAAAUGGAUGUACCUAUAUACUAAAACAUGUCUAGAUACAUAUAUAUUUUGACAAAUAGAAGGCAUGUAUUGUGCAACGGAGGGAGUAGAAU
rnacentral:pre_miRNA from 1 species